rnacentral:rRNA from 1 species
AUUGAACGCUGGCGGCAGGCCUAACACAUGCAAGUCGAGCGAGCGGCGGACGGGUGAGUAAUGUCUGGGAAACUGCCUGAUGGAGGGGGAUAACUACUGGAAACGGUAGCUAAUACCGCAUACCAUCAGAUGUGCCCAGAUGGGAUUAGCUAGUAGGUGGGGUAACGGGUCACCUAGGCGACGAUCCCUAGCUGGUCUGAGAGGAUGACCAGCCACAAUGGAACUGAGAACCGGUCCAAACCUCUUCGGGAGGCAGCAGUUGGGAAUAUGGCACAAUUGGCGCAAGCCUGAUGGAGCCAUGCCGGGGGUGGUAAGAAGGCCUUCGGGUUGUAAAGCACUUUCAGCGGGGAGGCGUUACCCGCAGAAGAAGCACCGGCUAACUCCGUGCCAGCAGCCGCGGUAAUUC